rnacentral:ribozyme from 1 species
UGCCCAGCAACUUCUAUCCCUAUCUCCCCGCGGUACUGGCCAGGGUACGAGUAACCUUAAGGAAGAUCUGGUAACAAUCCCCGUCGGGAGCUUUGGUCGUUUGCUGACAGGGAAGG